CGAGCUCGGCUCGUUAGUCAAACGAGCCCGAGCCCGAGCCCAAAAAGAGGCCCGUUUAAAUCCGAGCCCGAGCCCAAGCUCGAGCCCGAGCAGCUCACGAGCCCAAACGAGCCCAAAUGAGGGUUCAGUCCAAUUCCAUUUAAUUUCUUAAAAUCAGAUUGAAUUAGUUCAAGUUUGGACUCAACCCGUUAACCCAAACCCAAUUCGUUAACCCAUUCCCUCCUCCUCCUCUUUCUUUUUCUUUUCCUCUCCUCUCUUCUGGGUUUCUCCAGUACCUUCCAGCCCCUCUUUCUUCUCCGUUUCUCCCCCUUUCUUUUCUUCUCUCUGCCGACUCCUCCACCGGCGACAUAGGAGGGGAGGAGAAGCACGGUGGGUAUGGGAAUCUGUACAGCCAGGGGUACGGCCUACAGGGUGGAGACGGCAGCCCUGAG
rnacentral:lncRNA from 1 species